rnacentral:rRNA from 1 species
UUGGAGGGCAAGUCUGGUGCCAGCAGCCGCGGUAAUUCCAGCUUCAAUAGCGUAUAUUAAAGUUGUUGUGGUUAAAAAGCUCGUAGUUGAACCUUGGGCCUGGCCGUCCGGUCCGCCUCACCGCGUGUACUGGCUCGGCCGGGCCUUUCCCUCUGUGGAACCCCAUGCCCUUCACUGGGCGUGGCGGGGAAACAGGACUUUUACUGUGAAAAAAUUGAGUGCUCCAGGCAGGCCUAUGCUCGAAUACAUUAGCAUGGAAUGAUAGAAUAGGACG